GUGAGGAAUAUUGGACAAUGGGCGCAAGCCUGAUCCAGCAAUGCCGCGUGGGUGAAGAAGGUCUUCGGAUCGUAAAGCCCUUUCGACAGGGACGAUGAUGACGGUACCUGUAGAAGAAGCCCCGGCUAACUUCGUGCCAGCAGCCGCGGUAAUACGAAGGGGGCUAGCGUUACUCGGAAUUACUGGGCGUAAAGGGCGCGUAGGCGGCUCUGUUAGUCAGGCGUGAAAUUCCUGGGCUUAACCUGGGGACUGCGCUUGAUACUGCAGGGCUUGAGGACGAGAGAGGGUGGUGGAAGUCCCAGUGUAGAGGUGAAAUUCGUAGAUAUUGGGAAGAACACCGGUGGCGAAGGCGACCACCUGGCUCGGUUCUGACGCUGAGGCGCGACAGCGUGGGGAGCAAACAGGAUUAGAAACCCGGGUAGUCC
rnacentral:rRNA from 1 species